UACAACUCCCAAACCCAAUGUGAACGUUACCAAACUGUUGCCUCGGCGGGGUCACGCCCCGGGUGCGUAAAAGCCCCGGAACCAGGCGCCCGCCGGAGGAACCAACCAAACUCUUUCUGUAGUCCCCUCGCGGACGUAUUUCUUACAGCUCUGAGCAAAAAUUCAAAAUGAAUCAAAACUUUCAACAACGGAUCUCUUGGUUCUGGCAUCGAUGAAGAACGCAGCGAAAUGCGAUAAGUAAUGUGAAUUGCAGAAUUCAGUGAAUCAUCGAAUCUUUGAACGCACAUUGCGCCCGCCAGUAUUCUGGCGGGCAUGCCUGUCCGAGCGUCAUUUCAACCCUCGAACCCCUCCGGGGGGUCGGCGUUGGGGAUCGGGACCCCUCACCGGGUGCCGGCCCUGAAAUACAGUGGCGGUCUCGCCGCAGCCUCUCCUGCGCAGUAGUUUGCACAACUCGCACCGGGAGCGCGGCGCGUCCACGUCCGUAAAACACCCAACUUCUGAAAUGUUGACCUCGGAUCAGGUAGGAAUACCCGCUGAACUUAAGCAUAUCAAUAG
rnacentral:rRNA from 1 species